rnacentral:rRNA from 12 species
AACCCCUGUGAUCAGUUGCCAGCGCGUCAUGGCGGGGACUCUGAUCAGACCGCCGGCGUCAAGCCGGAGGAAGGCGGGGAUGACGUCAAGUCCUCAUGGCCCUUAUGCCCGGGGCUGCACACGUGCUACAAUGGGGCGGACAGAGCGACGCUAAACCGCAAGGUCACGCCAAUCGCAAAAACCGCCCCUCAGUUCGGAUUGCGGGCUGCAACCCGCCCGCAUGAAGCUGGAAUCGCUAGUAAUCGCGGAUCAGCACUGCCGCGGUGAAUGUGUUCCUGAGCCUUGUACACACCGCCCGUCAAGCCACCAAAGCGGGGGGCAUCCGAAGUCGCCGGAGCCGUCACAGGCAGGCGCCGAAGAUGAAACCCGUGAUGGGGACUAAGUCGUAACAAGGUAACCGUAGGGGGAACC